CUUUUUCUGCUAUUUCCAAUUUUUCUCGCUUAGCUUGUCUCAGUCUAGUGUGAAGAGCUCUUUCUGGUUCUGCGUCAAAAGAAAAAUCCGCUGAGGCCUUACCUCGCAUAAACAAGUUAGACAAAUAUUAGAAUUGAAUACUAAGAUUGUCACAAAUAAAAUUUUGGUUGACGAGCAACAAAAUUUCAAUAGAAUAAAAAUUAAAAUAGGUAUUUUGGCAAUCCCCG
rnacentral:lncRNA from 1 species